rnacentral:rRNA from 1 species
GCUGCCCUUCCUACGGGAGGCAGCAGUAGGGAAUAUUGGACAAUGGGUGCAAGCCUGAUCCAGCCAUGCCGCGUGCAGGAAGACGGCCUUCUGGGUUGUAAACUGCUUUUACCUGGGGAUAAAAAGCCCAUGCGUGGGAAACUGAAGGUACCAGGAGAAUAAGCCACGGCUAACUACGUGCCAGCAGCCGCGGUAAUAAGG